GAGAGAGAGAGAGAGAGAGAGAGAGAGAGAGAGAGAGAGAGAGAGAGUUUUCCAAGCUACCAUUACAGGAAGGUCUCCAGUCUCUCUAAGAAAUAAGAUAUCUCUGAGGAUUACUGCCUUUCCUCUGACAACUGAAAUAGGCCUAUAGAUACAUUCACAGCAGCCUCCUUCUGUUCCGUGGAUAAAACUUAUUGGGGGAUAAGUUAACUUUGCAGUGUGUUAGGAUAUUUGUCCUGUAUAAUGAGAAAAUACUAAAGUCUGCCCUUGAAAAGUAAUCUAACGGGAGCAAAUUGUCGUAGUCAGUGUUUGGCGAUUUCCAGCCCCAAAGUGUCUCCUCCAGCCAAUAAGUGGCUUGAUAUAUCGUUGACUGUUUCCUGGCAAUGGCUCAGACACCGCCGCUAUGUCCAAAAUCCAUUAUGAGCGGGUCCGUUAUAUCCAGGGUUUACUGUAUAUACAGUUAACAGCUGCACUCAGUGUGGUGCCAUCAAUGUAACGCUAUAUAUUUUUUUACUGUGUUGGUGGGUGAAAACAAUCAUUGAUGCACUUUUGCAGUGUGCAGGUUUUGGCUCCAGUCUACACACUGAAACAACUCCUAGUACCACCGCCUCGCUCUCCACAGGUGUCCCAGCCAGGCCCGCCGCGCACAAGCUCCCACUCAACACCAGUUCCUCCAGCAGUCUGGCGUGGACCUGUGCCUGGCGGCCAAGAAGAUCUCCUCCCCACACCAGGGACCACUGUGGCCGACAUCACCGCCGCAGAGAACUCAAGUCCACGCUCAAGACAUGGAAGGCUGACCUGGUGCUUCAUGAUGGUGAGUGGUGAUAGUGUUCAUCAUCAUCAUCAUCAUCAUCCAUUUCUUCCCUGUGGAGGGCGGGAUACGGCCGCCUCCUCCACUGUCCAUUUCCUCCGUGAUGUUCAGCCUCCUCCUGUCCUUACUUCCACAAUGUUGGCAGCAACUUGGAGGCGUUAGCUCUCCUUUACCCGAUCAGCUACAAAUAUUUCUUUCUUACCUCCAUGACGGAGCAAUAGUAGAAUCUGUCCAGCAUUGUUAUCUAGGCUAAGGCCAUUCUUCACAACUAAUCUUCAACACAAAAGUGAUCACCCAUGAGUCUUGGCAGUGUCCUUCUGGGCGCACAACUCUGGAGGAUACUAGUGACACCUGAUGUUCUCCACAGGUACUCGCAGGUGUGAGGCAUCACCAAGCCCAUGCAGCUCCACAUGACUAAGCUUCUCCUGAGCCUCUCCUGGAAAAUCACAUAUGAAAGUUCUUGGAGUGUUGACGACUAAGGCUUUCUGAAAUUUUAACUUCAACCCUGAUGGUAUUUCUUGAUCCCAAGUCAGACCCAGUUUCUAGAGUUCCUGAAAAAGUAUCUUGGCCUACAUAACAAAUGGACUAAUUAAUCCUAAAGGGUCACAGAUCUCACACUAAGGAUGCUUGGCUUAGUGGAGACUACUUCUACACGAUGCCAUCAAGGGAGAAAGUGUCCUGCUGUGAGCUGCACCACCUGAAAGAGGCACCUUGUCAUGUAACUUAGAAGUAAUCGACAAGCUACUUGACACAAGCUUUGUAAGCUCCAUACUGCCAUCAGCAAAAAUGCUGCGUGCUUGACAGACUUUCUCUGCUGCUUCUGUGGCAGAACCACUCAACCUGUGUACAUGUCAGCCUUCAAAUCCUGCACUACACUAGUCUGGGGAUACUUAUCCAGACGGUGUUUGAUGGUGGCAGAAAUGGACGGGUUGUGUUACCAAACGUGGGAGUCUCGCAUUGUACCGUGGUCUCUUGGCCGUGAAAAUCUGUGAACAUCUCUAUCCUUCUCUUGAACGCUGAUUUGCAAAUUAUAUCUGCUGUAAUAAUAGCAAUGGGCCAAUGACGAAACCACCUCAACCAAGUCAGGGCUGAGUGCUGGGCCUGAGGACAAACAGCCAUUGUAACAAGGGACAUCAGACACAGGCCUUGUCUUGGUACCUGGACCACUUAACUUCACUGCUGGGCCAUGAGACAUAUAGUACACGGGAUCCACACCUGCAAUUUCCUGACUUGGCACCUCUUCUAUUAUGUGAUGAGACCAUCUGUUGAUACUCUUUCUUAUCUUGCUCUAACUUAGCCAUUAGCUUACUUCUACUGACUAUGAUUUCAUUACUCAAAAGCUUUUCUUUGGCAGAAUGAUCCUUCGAUGGUGGUGCAACCUCCUAGCGACCAUUCACAAACUGUAUUGUACUACUCUCAAAUUCUCUCACAUCUUUGGCAUAACAAGUUCCUUAGGCUUAACCCCCACAAGACUUACUCAAAGCAGAGGAGACACAACAAUUGUGAUGCAGAGUACACAGAGGUGGAUUCAUUAAGAUGUAACCACAGACAGACUUCAUGGCUACAACAUGGAAGGCAUCUACAGGAGAAAUCAAUGUCCAAUAGAGAUCUGGCCCAACCAAUAUAUCAAUGGGAGAAUCAUGGUGGUAGUCAUCGUCAACCUGAGGAAAGGAAUCCAGCCCUGAAUAUGGCCUAGCCAAGGGCUGGUAGGGCAGCAAUGACACCACUUCCCUGUCCCACAACUUUAACUCAAAGACAUUUUCCACCACUGUGACCACCACAACCAGAGUAUGGCCUACUCCACUGUGGCUUACACUUCUUCACAAAGUUGGUACUAACAUGUCUGCACCAUUACCACCUGAGCACUGACAACAGUGCCAUCAAUCCCAGUACUCCACCAUAACAAUUUCCUGACACAGAAACAGAGUUUUCUUGCUUGGAGGAAGCAUGGAGUACACCCUGUCUUUAGAACCAGUACUCUUAUUUUCACUUGUCUGUUCUUCACUACUACUACUCUUCUUUCCCUUAAAGACCUUUCUAAUCUUGUCUAAGAAUGUCAGUCUAAGUCCUGUCCAUCACCUUCCCUGGCCCAUAGUUCACGAGAGCGGGUGAUCAGAAACACCUCGCACUGUGACGCCUCCAAACUGUGUUAGAAUGUCAUCGCGUAAUUUGUGCCGCGCCCUUCGCUCCACCGACGUUGAUGUUGACAGGACCAUUCAGCAGUGCCUGCAAAGAUAAUCCUUUCUGGCUUGUAGCAGGUUACAGGCAACAGGGCACUGGUAUGAGCUUCACUACACUCCUGGCAUCUCCCUCCCGCCGGCAAUGAUAGCAAGUAGGUGAACUUAGUGGAAGGUCUGUUGCAUCGGAACAGGAAUAUUGAUCCCAGGAGGACUGCCACUGGCUCACUUCACCAGUAAACUUUGCCAAUUCCAACUUGACAUUGGUGAUUCUUGAGAUAAAGACUUAUAGCAGUACCAGCUGCUGCUAACUCCCUUAUCUUGGUAGUAUCUGCACACCUUUGCCUCUAAAUUCAGGUCCAAAAGUUGGUCUAGUUCUUCUUCAGGUACUUCAACUCUAUUGCUUCUUGCACUUCAUCUAACUUGGCCAGUCUUUUGUGGCAUUCCUUGUACUCACCUUGAGUGGUGGUGGUGGUGGUGGUGGUGGCAGCCUCCAGACUGUCACUCAGCGCCCAGCCUCGUCCUUGUCUUCUUGAGCUUCUUAUCUUAUCUUAUGUCUAUCUUGAGUUAUCUUGCAUUUUCUUAACCUUUUUCGAUUUUUUUUUAGUUUGAAUUAUCGUGUGUGUGAGAUUUGAAUGCUUAUAACUCUGGAUUUGUUUAAGUUAGAGUUCUGUUUAUUUGUGUGUGUAGAGGAAGGCUUUCUCUAUCUUUCUGUGUUUUGGGUCUUGGUCUAUCUUAUGUCUAUCUUGAGGUAUCUUGCAUUUUCUUAAACUUUUUUCAAUCUUACUUCAGUUUAAAUUAUCAGGUGUGUGAGCUUUAAACGCUUCUAACACUGGAUCCCUUUGAGUUAGAAUUUUUCCGUUUAUUUGUGUGUAUAGAUGAAGUCUUUCUCUAUCUUUCUGUGUUUUGUGUUUGGCUCUGUCUUAUGUCUAUGUAGAGUUAUCUUGCAUUUUCUCUAACUUUUUUACUAAUAUUUUGGUCUCAGUUUACCAUAUGGGUGAUUUUAAAUGCUUAUAACUUGGGUUUCAUUUAGGUUAGAGUCAAUCUGUUUGCAUCUAAUCAAAGUUCAAUCCUCGCUCUAUCCAUCCCCUCCAUCCACUCGCUCUAAUCCUCGCUCACUCUCUCACUAUCUCACUUUAUUUACCAACUUUGCUGAUAGGUUCUGAUAACAAAUUGAUAUCAAAUUCUCUAUCACACUCUUUCAUGACAUGUAUAAGAUUUUUCCUUCAUUUUUUAUAUACAUAUCCCAAAGUUAAAGGCCCAUAGCUCCACUUCUAAGAAAGAUAAAGCCAAUAUGUUUGUACCUAAUCAAAGCCCAGUCCUUGCUCUACCCAACCCCACAAUCGGCUUGCUCUAAUCCUUGCUCACUUUCCCACUACCUUACUUUCUUUCAUGACAUGUAUAAGAUUUUUCCAGAUUUUUUUUCCAUGACCCAAAGUUAAAGGCCUGUAGCUCUAUUCAUAAGAAAGAUAGAGCCAAUCCGUUUGUGCCUGAUCAAAGCCCAAUCCUUGCUCUAUCCAACCCCACUCUCCGCUUGCUCUAAUCCUUGCUCACUUUCUCACUAUCUUACUUUCUUUCAUGACAUGUAUAAGAUUUUUCCAGAUUUUUUUUCCAUGACCCAAAGUUAAAGGCCUAUAGCUCCGCUUCUAAGAAAGAUAGAGCCAAUCCGUUUGUACCUAAUCAAAGCCCAAUCCUUGCUCUAUCCAACCCCACUAUCCGCUUGCUCUAAUCUUCGCUCACUUUCUCGCCAUCUCACUUUCUCUGCAGGUACUGACAGCCAGCACGGUGCACACUCAAAGCGAGGAGGACUGGGAUCUGAUCUCCUGACUGGUGGAGUCUGUCGGGGCGGGCACCUUACCCCCCCCCCCUCAGUACCUCCUUGGGGGGGGCGGGGGAGGAGGAGGAGGCAUUGAAGGAGCUGAGUGACAUGCAGGACACUGUGAAUGCCAGAAAGGCGGGACUUGUCAAGACACAAGACUCUUGACACGCUUGUCUCGUUUCCCGUGAACUCGUCGUAAAGAGCCACCGAGGCCUCCUUCCCAUGGACCUGCUGUUAACCGUUCAGACGCCCAGGUCUCUCGUUGACAGGCCCGGGAAGGAGGGACGCAACGCACCUCACAAGACACAAGACUCCAGUCCAUCCUGAGUAGCCCGGAGAGGGAGUGACCUGCCAUGGGGCAGUCCAGUCCAGCCAGCCACUGUGUGGUGGUAAUAGUGAUGGCACCUUUGGCACAGCGUUAACUUUGCCAUCAUCAGUAGGAACUUAGUUAUAGAGUUACGUGCAUACAAUUUCAUACAGUAAGUUACAUACAGUCAUUGCUUACAGUUUAGUUUUUAUUAGAUGUUUUUGGCAGUUGUAUUAGUUUAUUUUGUCAGGCUUGUUUCUUUAUUUUAUAUUUCUUUAUUCCUAUUUAUUUUUAUUGACCAAAUUAGUCGAGCGGAAUAUUAGCAAGUUUUGUUCUUGAGUAGGUGCUGAUAGUAAUCUCUCUCUCUCUCUCUCUCUCUCUCUCUCUCUCUCUCUCUCUCUCUCUCUCUC